GCCCCCACUCGUCGCUGCAAUCGAGAUUGUGGGUGGCCCCUCCAACCUACGCCGCCGGCAUCUCCGCCCCUUCCAUCGACGCAGCCACCGUUUCCACUCACUCCACCGAGGUGCAAGUGUGUUGGUUCAAGAGCCAUCGAAACUGUCAACUUCAUAGGAACUGUCAAUUCAUGUGCUCACGUAGCCACAACGGUCAAGCCUAGCAGGCCUCCCCCAUGCGGGUCUGCUUGUUUAGCCUGAAGUGGGAGCUUCUACUUCGUUUGGGUCAUUGCAAGCACAACCAAACACAAAAAUUACUUUUAGCUCUAGGUUUUUAUAGGCCUUUCUCAUUUGCAUUAAAACCUGCAAGCCCCUUCGGAUGUACUCCCGUAGUUUGUGGAUCCUCCUGCUAACUAAUGCAUCUGGGUACUACAUAUUUAUGGCCGAAAUGGCACCACACACAUAUAUAUAAGGCAAACCCCUUCACAAA